GGCACGCUGUGGCUGGUCGCGGGGGCGGCGGUGCUGUGGAUGGCGGCGGGCAUCACCGGCGGGGUGAUCAGCGCGGUCCGGCCGCGCAGCGUCCUG
rnacentral:tRNA from 1 species